rnacentral:lncRNA from 10 species
CGAAACAGGGUCAUUUGAAAUGGAGAAGAAAGCCUUUCCCGUAUCCGGAGGGUGUGGCCCGACAUUCCGGAGCAGCGGCAAGGGUUCUCUCUGGUUCUGUGCCUGUGCCAGGGCACCUACCCCAGCCCCUGCUUCAGGAGGGAAGUUAUUUUCUUUUAAAUCAAAUGUGUGGCGACCUAAGUUUCCUUUCCCUGAUUUGCUCCGUGGUCACCCUGGGCCCCCUGCUGCUGUCAGGUCAACAUCUUUAAAGGGCUCUCUGUGCUUUUCCUAAGAAGGGGACCACAACAGACUCGACAGGAUCCACCGGUUGGGCCCAAGGCAGGAGGAAGGGCGGCGCCCCCAAACUCCCAGGACGCCUGCAGCACCCCCCACGCGCCGCUCUCCGCCUCUGGGGAGCAUCCUGCCACCCCCCGACACACACACCCCGGCUACAUCCCGCCUUCUCACGCUUGGUCAGGCGCUCUGGAGAUGUCGGAGAUCCAGGCUUUUCCUAAAGAGUCAGGAUUGGAAGGCGGACUCCCACCGUUUGCUGAGCUCCACAUGACAACAGCAGACGACAGGCCGCACUGAUCCCACCUGGCUUACAGGUGCUGUCACACAGGUACGCCUUCUUGUGAAUCAUCAGUCACCAUUUGCCCCUCGCAGCAACCCUGUCUUGGAGGAAGGUCCUUGCCGACACCCGCCUCUCCCCACCCUUAGGCUCCCUUGCUCCUUCAUUCAACCAUUGUUUACAUGUCGUUCAGGACUGCUGACUAAACACUUUCAAGCACAGUGGACCCUUGAACAACGCAGGUUCAAACUGUGCAGGUCCACCCACAGGGAUGUUUUUCAAUCAGAGUUAUACCAAGUGUCCCUGCCUCUCCUGCCUCCCUUCCCACUUCCUCCAUGUCUUCCUCUCUGCCACCCUGAGGCAGCAAGACCAGCCCCUCCUCCUCAGCCACUCAACAUGAAGACAACGAGGAUGAAGACUUCUAUGAUAAUCCACUUCCACUUAGUAAAUGCUUUCUCUUAUGAUAUUCUUAAUGACAUUUUAUUUUCCCAAGCUUAGUUUAUUGUAAGAAUACAGUAUAAAUACACAUACAAAGUACGUGUUAACUGAUUUUUUAAUGUUACCAGUAAGGCUUCCAGUUAACAGUAGGCUAUUUAUUAGUUAAGUUUGGAGGGAGCCUGAAGUUAUACAAGCUCUGACUGCGUGAGGGGUUGGCUCUCCAACCCUCACAUUGUUCAAGGCUCAACUGCACCUCUCCUACCUAUCUCCCCCACCCUCUGAUGUAGUAGGAUAAAUAUAAAAACACUUAGAAAUCCUUGAAAACCAGGAAAAAUGCCACCAACAGACUAGAACAUUGGAGAAUUUCUGGAAGAUAUAAAGCGGAGGAGAUCAGAUUCGUGGUGAAACGCAAUAGAGCCAAUGGCCUGCAGGGUAAAGUCUGAGUGCAGCAUUCAGACUGAAGACAAAGAUGCACCGGGAGCCUCCAGAGCCAACACUGGCCCAAAGAGAGAAGCAGGGGCCCGCCCAGGUGACUGCCAGGCACUGUCAGCCACACUGACAGGGAGAGCGGCCCAGAUGAGAGGCCCAGGAAGGCACUCUGCCUUUGCAACGUCCUGGCCUGUCUCCAUGACCACAGGUGCCCAGUGGUGCCAGGGUUGCCAGACAGUGGUGGUUUAGUUGUGUGCAAGAACUACUCUGCACAGCAAGAAUGAUUGGUUGAGACUGACAGAUCGCAAACACACUGCAUUCAGGAACCCUUCACCCUCUCUUAGAAAUGGCUGAGGGUCUCAGCGGGCUUUCAUUCAUAUGAGUUUAUCUAUCAAUAUUUACGGUAGUAGAAGUUCAAGUGAAAAAUAAAUAAAUAUUCAUUUAUCUUAAAAUAAUAAUGGCAUGUUAACAUAAAUAACACUUAUACAUGCUGGGUGUGGUGGCUCACGCCUGUAAUCCCAGCACUUUGGGAGGCCGAGGCGGGCGAGUCACCUGAGGUCGGGAGUUUGAGACCAGCCUGACCAACAUGGUGAAACCCCAUCUUUACCAAAAAUACAAAAAAUUAGCCAGGUGUGGUGGUGCGUGGCUGUAAUCCCAGCUACUCAGGAGGCUGAGACAGGAGAACCGCUUGAACCCGGGAGGCAGAGGUUGCAGUGAGUUGAGAUGGUGCCACUGCAUUGCAGCCCGGGCAACAAGAGUGAAACUCUGUCUCAAAACAAAACAAACAAAACAAAAAAACUCCCCAAUGUCUGGCUUAAUAGCUGGAUUUUCUUUUUUGUUGUUGUAUUUUUUUAUUUUUAUGUAUUUAUGCAUUUAAUUUUUAUGUAUUCAUAUGUAUUUAAUUUUUUAAAUUUAUUUAUUGAGACAGAGUCUCACUCUGACACCCAGGCUGCAAUGCAGUGGCACAAUCUUGGCUCACUGCAACCUCUGCCUCCCAGUUCAAGCAAUCCUCCUGCCUCGGCCUCCCAAGUAGCUGGGAUUACAGGAAUGCACCACCACGCCUAGCUUUUUUUUUUUUUUUUUUUGUAUUUUUAGUAGAGAUGGCGUUUCACCAUGUUGGCCAGGCUGGUCUCAAACUCCUGACCUCAAGUGGUCUGUCUGCCUCAGCCUCCCAAAGUGUUGAGAUUACAGGCAGGAGCCGCCAUGCCCAGCCAACAGCUGGAUUUUCAUACCUCCUUCUUUCAAGCUAUAGUGAUAACACACAUCAUGUAGACUCUGGAAAACUCCACUGAACACCCAUUUGUAUAUGUGCUGCUGAAGUGAGCACCUGAACACCCAUUAGGAAAAACAAGUCUUUUUUAUUCCUAUUAAAUAGUUUUGGCUUUGCAGACACCCAGAAAGAGUCUUAAGAACCCUUAGGGGUCCAUGGAUCUCACUUUGAAAACCACUCUCUGGACGUUCAUUUACAAAUGGGAUCAGACAAUCAAAAAUCCCCAGACAUUUGAAGGAAACCAACAGCCUGCAGAAGAAGUAGACAGAACGCUGGAGAAAACAGGAUAAUAAUGCAGGAAUCAGAAGAAGACAUUAAAAUCAGCAUAAUUCAUAUCCUUUGAAAGGUUCAAUAAAAUAUAACAACCAGUUAGAUGGCAAGUGGGCACAGAGCAAAUACACAAAAAUCAAUACUUUCCAUAGAUACCAUUAAAUAAUCAAUAGGAGAGGACAUUUGCAAUACCAACAACAAUCAUAAAUAAUCUAGGCAUAGGCAUAACCAAAAUUCUGGAGAACCUACAUGAAGAAAAAUGUUUAAUCGUAUUAAAGGACAUAAAUUGAGAGAUGUAUUAUGUUUCCCGUAGGAAGCUUCAAUAUUGUAAAAGUGGCAAUUAUUUGAGUUGCUCCGUGAACUGUCCUCUGCAUUAUACUAGGUUGAGUGGGAUUUCUGUCAAGAGUAUGCACCAAGAGUCAUAACUAAUAUAUCUUGUAGGUCAGCAGUCCCCAGCCUUUUUGGCACCAGGGACCAGUUUCAUGGAAGACAAUUUUUCCACAGACACAGGCUGAGCGGGGGAUGGUUUCAGGGUGAACCUGUUCCACCUCAGAUCAUCAGGCAUUAAGAGUCUUUUAAGGAAUGUGCAACCUAGAUCCCUCAUACGCACAGUUCACAGUAGGGUUUGUGCUCCUAUGAGAAUCUAAUGUCGCUGCUGGUCUGACAGGAGGCGGAGCUCAGGUGGUCAUGCUCCCGCGCCUGCUACUCAUCUUCUGCUAUGUAGCCUGGUUCUUAACAAACCACAGACAGGGAAUAGUCUGCAGCCCCGGGUUUGGGGACCACUGCUCUAGGUUGAAAGCCGCUCCAAAUAAAAUAAAGAGACAAGUGACUGAUUACAAGAUGUUUGCAAGAUAUAUAAUAGUCAAAAGGUUAAUAUACUUAAUAUAUAACAUUCCUGGAGUCAUAACAUUUUAAGACAAAGAACCUUAAAAUACAGGCAGAUAAUAGAAGCUAAAUGACAAGUAUCUACAUGCAUGAAAACGAAUCAACCUCUGAAUUAGUUAGGGUAAAGCUCACCUGCUCUAACAAAGAGGCCUGAUGAUACAGAGGCUAGAAGAAUAAACAGAUUUGUUUCUGUAUUAGGUUCUCCAGAGAACAGA